rnacentral:rRNA from 1 species
AAAAGCUCAAAUUUAAAAUCUGGCGGUCGUCGGCCGUCCGAGUUGUAACCUGGAGGAGCGCUUUCCGCGCCGGACCGUGUACAAGUCUCCUGGAACGGAGCGUCAUAGAGGGUGAGAAUCCCGUCCAUGACACGGACGCCCGGUGCAAAGGGAUUGCGCCCCCGAAGAGUCGCGUUGUUUGGGAAUGCAGCGCAAAAUGGGUGGUAAAUUCCAUCUAAAGCUAAAUAUUGGCGAGAGACCGAUAGCGAACAAGUACCGUGAGGGAAAGAUGAAAAGCACUUUGGAAAGAGAGUUAAACAGUACGUGAAAUUGUUGAAAGGGAAACGCUUGAAGUCAGUCGCGUCGCACGGAACUCAGCCUGGCCUUGGCCUGGUGUACUUUCCGUGUGACGGGUCAACAUCAAUUUCGGGCGGCGGACAAGGGCGAGGGGAAUGUAGCGUCGCUUCGGCGGCGUGUUAUAGCCCCUUGUCGUAUACGCCGUGCGGGAUUGAGGACCGCAGCGCGCCCUUGUGGCCGGGGUUCGCCCACGUCACGCGCUUAGGAUGUUGGCAUAAUGGCUUUAAGCGACCCGUCUUGAAACACGGACCAAGGAGUCUAACAUGCUUGCGAGUGUUCGGGUGGAAUACCCUUGCGCGGAAUGAUAGUGAUAGUUGGGAGCCUCCGCGAGGGGGUGCACCGACGCCCGGCCCUGAAGUUCUCUGACGGUGCUGCGGUAGAGCAGGUGUGUUGGGACCCGAAAGAUGGUGAUACUAUGCCUGUAUAGGGCGAAGUCUAGGAGGAAACUCUGGUGGUGGCUCGUAGCGAUUCUGACGUGCAAAUCGAUCGUCAAAUUUGGGUAUAGGGGCGAAAGACU